rnacentral:rRNA from 1 species
UACGUAGGGCGCAAGCGUUGUCCGGAAUUAUUGGGCGUAAAGAGCUCGUAGGCGGCUUGUCACGUCGGGUGUGAAAGCCCGGGGCUUAACCCCGGGUCUGCAUUCGAUACGGGCAGGCUAGAGUGUGGUAGGGGGAGAUCGGAAUUCCUGGUGUAGCGGUGAAAUGCGCAGAUAUCAGGAGGAACACCGGUGGCGAAGGCGGAUCUCUGGGCCAUUACUGACGCUGAGGAGCGAAGCGUGGGGAGCGAACAGG